rnacentral:tRNA from 1 species
GGCGAGGUAGCUCAGAUGGGGUCUAAUAAACCGAAGAGCAACCGGUUUUAACCGGUAGGUCGUCGGUUCAAAUCCGACCCUCGUCACCA